rnacentral:rRNA from 1 species
CCUACGGGGGGCAGCAGUAGGGAAUAUUGCACAAUGGGCGAAAGCCUGAUGCAGCAACGCCGCGUGAACGAAGAAGGCUCUUGGGUCGUAAAGUUCUGUUCUGAGGGAAGAAGAAAGUGACGGUACCUCAGGGGAAAGCCCCGGCUAACUACGUGCCAGCAGCCGCGGUAAUACGUAGGGGGCAAGCGUUAUCCGGAUUUACUGGGUGUAAAGGGAGCGUAGACGGCGAUGCAAGUCUGAAGUGAAAGCCCGGGGCUCAACCCCGGGACUGCUUUGGAAACUGUAUGGCUGGAGUGCUGGAGAGG